GGACAUGCAUGAUGAAGAGAGCUAUCCGUCGACAGUACAGAACAGUUCCACUGUCAUGGAGUUGCUCUCUUUAUUUACAUGCCC
rfam:Rhodnius prolixus Rhodnius_prolixus-3.0.3-13.75, whole genome shotgun sequence.